AGACACGAAAAGCAUCCGUGGACCUCAAGUUUGAGGUGAAACCAGGCUCAGGGGCCACCUGUCCUCGCUGAUCCAUGGAUUUCUGUGUGACCAGGUUACACCUAUGGAGCCGUGGCCCCGACUACCAACAGUGAGUAUUCCUGGCCCUGAUCUCCUGGGUCCCAUCUGCAUUUGGAGUUUGGGAGCACUUGUUCUCCUUCACCUGCUGUCCUUGCUUUGGGGCACAACCUGAAGACCCUCACAGUCAACGUCACCAUCUCCACCCUCCGGUAUUCAUCAGA